ACUGGAUAUUGGGGAUUUAAAUUGUCAAUAAAAUAACUUGUAUGUAGUCUUUUCCCUGUGACUUUUCAGAUGUCAGCAGUUGCCCAGGUUUGAAGCAUAUGAAAUAUGGUAUCACACUACUCUUGAAACAGCCCUUUGUUUAAAUAAAUUUAGGCUUCUUGCUUGCAGGAUAAAUUGGAGUAAAUGUUGUUAUGCAUGUAUGCAGUGUGUUUUUAAGACAUUAUUUGUUUACUUUAGUGUUGAUUAAUCCAUCAAGUGUUUUUUUUUUUUGUCAAAAUGUAAAUCAGCAACUAAGGAAAAUUCAAUCAGCGGAUCUACCGUAUACUACCACUGAGCUGAAGUUACACUGACAUAAAAAAAUGACCUAAAAUUUUAAUAAAUGCUUAUUUUUUCCUGAGUUUGUGUCCAGCUGAAGGACCAAAUCCUUGUGAGCUGGCUCAGAACCCAAGAUACCGCAAAGGACCUCCUGAUUGCUUUGACAAUAAUCAAAAUGAGGAUGAUUCUGAUUGUGGAGGAGGGACCUACCUAAACCCGAGUUUCUGGUCUGUCCUCUGCCUUCAACUACUGCUCUGGCUCACCACAUUUUUACAGCAGUCAUGACCUCGUUCACAGUUGAUCAUCACAUUUCAUGGGAGACCAGAAGACAUGCACUUGCGCCAUACAGGAUGUAUGCAGAAAUGUGCAACAUGAGAAAAACAAUCUCAGCAUUUUCAUUUUUCAAUGCCAAAGGGUGCUCAUCCAUUUCCUGCUCAUCGUUUUUAAAAGUGGAAACACAUUUAUUGAAAUCAGCUGCAAACCUGUCCAUCAUCUACGACUUAAAUCUCUCUUUGGUGCAAAUGUAAGAGCUAACCAAACCCUUUAAUUCUGCCUCAUUUGUUUUUUUUAUUUAUAAAGUGAAGAUGGAAGAUGUAUUCCACUAUGCCAACUGGAAAUUAAUCAAAUCAGCAUUGAUUUGUGAAGUUAUAAACAAUGCCUGUUUGUUUGGGGCGAAAUGCUGUAUAGGGUUCUUCUCAACUACUUCAAAUAUUAAUAUGCUUUUGGUU